rnacentral:tRNA from 1 species
GGGCCCGUAGCUCAGCCUGGCAGAGCAUUGGACUUUUAAUCCAAGUGUCAAGGGUUCAAAUCCCUUCGGGCUCG